GUUCAUUCGGGAACAUCCGAUAAAAUUGAAACAAUACAGAGAAGAUUAGCAUGACCCUUGCUCAAAGGAAGCAUUACUCAUUAAGAAACUUUAACAUUUGAG